UGUUGAUCUGCGCAUGGGCGAAAGCCUGACGCAGCAACGCCGCGUGGGGGAUGAAGCUUCUCGGAGUGUAAACCCCUUUCGACCCGGACGAAUGCCCGCAAGGGCUUGACGGUACGGGUAUAAGAAGCCCCGGCUAACUACGUGCCAGCAGCCGCGGUAAAACGUAGGGGGCCAGCGUUGCUCGGAAUUACUGGGCGUAAAGGGUCCGUAGGCGGUGCGGCAAGUCGGAAGUGAAAUCUCCGGGCUUAACCCAGAGGCUGCUUCCGAAACUGCCGUGCUAGAGUGCGAGAGAGGCGAGUGGAAUUGCGGGUGUAGCGGUGAAAUGCGUAGAUAUCCGCAGGAACAUCCGAGGCGAAGGCGGCUCGCUGGAUCGCAACUGACGCUGAGGGACGAAAGCUAGGGGAGCAAACAGGAUUAGAUACCCUGGUAGUCCUAGCCCUAAACCAUCAGGACUUGGGGUUUGCCCUGUACGGGGCAAGUCCCGUAGCUAACGCGUUAAGUCCUGCGCCUGGGGAAUACGUCGCAG
rnacentral:rRNA from 1 species